rnacentral:rRNA from 1 species
UACGUAGGGGGCGAGCGUUGUCCGGAAUUAUUGGGCGUAAAGAGCUCGUAGGCGGUGUGUCGCGUCGGCCGUGAAAACUUGGGGCUUAACCCUGAGCUUGCGGUCGAUACGGGCAUCACUGGAGUUCGGCAGGGGAGACUGGAAUUCCUGGUGUAGCGGUGAAAUGCGCAGAUAUCAGGAGGAACACCGGUGGCGAAGGCGGGUCUCUGGGCCGAUACUGACGCUGAGGAGCGAAAGCGUGGGGAGCAAACAGG